GACGAACGCUGGCGGCGUGCUUAACACAUGCAAGUCGAACGGUGACCUUGAGAGCUUGCUCUUGGGUGAUCAGUGGCGAACGGGUGAGUAACACGUGAGUAACCUGCCCCUGACUCUGGAAUAACUUCGGGAAACCGAAGCUAAUACCGGAUAUGACACAGAGCCGCAUGGUUUCUGUGUGGAAAGUUUUUCGGGUGGGGAUGGACUCGCGGCCUAUCAGCUUGUUGGUGAGGUAAUGGCGCACCAAGGCGACGACGGGUAGCCGGCCUGAGGGGGCGACCGGCCACACUGGGACUGAGACACGGCCCAGACUCCUACGGGAGGCAGCAGUGGGGAAUAUUGCACAAUGGGCGAAAGCCUGAUGCAGCGACGCCGCGUGAGGGAUGAAGGCCUUCGGGUUGUAAACCUCUUUCAGUAGGGAAGAAGCGCAAGUGACGGUACCUACAGAAGAAGCACCGGCUAACUACGUGCCAGCCGCCGCCGUAACAC
rnacentral:rRNA from 1 species